rnacentral:tRNA from 1 species
UGGGAUGUAGCUUAGUGGCACAGCAUCUGCCUGGCAAGUACGAGGCCCUGGGUUCAAUACCCAGUACCAA